GUAUUAAUGGGGUAGUGGUAACCUGGGUCGUUGCCAUAUCCCGUCUGAAAAGGUCUCUCGACCCGCCGGAGGUUCGAUUCCUUCUUAAUGCA